UUGAAAAGUCAGAGGGCGUGAAACCGCUUAGAUGGAAGCGGAUAGAGUUAACAAAACACAGCAGCAAUCAUCCGGUUAGAUGUUGAAUGCGUCGGCUGUUAACGCUUACAACCUUACUGUUGCACUUGUGUAGCAGGGGCAGUUUGUGUUCUGUUGACGUGUACGAUGUUUGACCGGUGCUCUUGCUGUUGUUAUGCAUUGAGGGGCUUGCAGAGGUACGGGAAACCGAAUGUCAGAGGCCUACAUUUUAUGAAUGCAGAAACCUUACGUUGGUUUUUCCGCUAUCCUUUGUAAGUUAUGUUUUACUAUGCCUGCUUUUAGCGUGAUUCAACUGCACUGUUGUAGGUGUGAAGUGGUACGGAUUUGUCGCUUGUCGGCUCCUCCUAUCCUUUGUGCUUGCUUCUGGUGCUGGUUGUCAAUUACUGUAGGCAUUGCUCCACAGUGUAUACAAAAAGUUAAUCACCUAUCCGACCCGUCUUGAAACACGGACCAAGGAGUUUAGCAUAUAUGCAAGUCAUUGGGUGUUGAAAACCUAAAGGCGUAAUGAAAAUAAGAAUAUGGGAUCUGUAUGCGGUGAUAAUGCAUGCAGCGCACCAUAGUCCUGUUAAUAUUGCUUGCAAUUUAGCGGAGAUAGAGCAUAUAUGCUGAGACCCGAAAGAUGGUGAACUAUGCUUGAGCAGGAUGAAGCCAGAGGAAACUCUGGUGGAAGUCCGAAGUGGUUCUGAACGUGCAAAUCGAUCAUCUGACUGAGAUAGGGCAAA
rnacentral:rRNA from 1 species